rnacentral:lncRNA from 10 species
CUUGAUUUACAGCUGGAAGGGCAGACGGAGGCAUCUUGGUGUAUACACAGCCCUGCUGGGCCACAUCCCGGGUCUCCUCCCUCUGCGAUGCCAUAGCAGGGGCGCCUUCCGAAAGCCCUCUGGAUUGAGGCAGCAGGAUCUAUGGUGGAACCUGCCCCGGCGUCGCCAACGCCCCUAGGACCCCAGCACACUGACUGGGGAGCAUCCCUGUGUCGUUUCUGCCCGGAGAGGAGCAGAGGCCAGGCUGCUGCUCUGGGAGAUUUCCAGGUGCGCCUGCACUCCCAGAUGAGACUUCCUGGUGCGCCUGCACUCCCAGGUGAGACUUCCUGGUGCACCUGCACUUCCAGAUGAGACUUCCUGGUGCACAUGUACUCCCAGGUGAGACUUCCAGGUGCACCUACACUCCCAGAUGCAGACUUCCUGGUGCACCUGUACUUCCAGAUGAGACUUUCUGGUGCACCUGCACUUCCACAUGAGACUUCCGGGUGCACCUGCACUCCCAGAUGCAGACUUCCUGGUGCACCUGCACUUCCUGGUGCAGACUUCUUGGUUCAUCUGCAACUUCCUGGUGAGAAUCCCUUGGGCAUCUGCACUUCCUGAUGCACCUGCACUUCUAGUUAUUUUAGAGAAAACGUUCCCUGAACAUGCCACAUGCAGAGGAUGCUGGGUAUCAGGCUACCUUUGCUGGACAGCUCCAGAGGCUGAGUGCCAGGCUUCCUCUCCUGGGAAGAGCCUGCCGGCUUGCGGGCUGUCAGCGCUCACUGUGGGUGCGGGUGGCGUGCCUGCCUGCACGGCCCUUGCCUCUCUUAGUCUACAGGGUCUCCACUCCUGAGUUCCCGGAAACAAGAUACAGAUUUCAGAAUGGCACCUGAACAUUGUUUACUGAUUUCCGGCUGGAAGUGAGGGUCCGAGGGAUUCUUCUAUGGAAUUGUAUGACUCAGCAUCUUUCUGAUUGCAAGCAGCAGCAUCGCAGCCUAAAUGAAUCUAUUGGCUUCUUCAACAGACCAAUCCGGUGGACGUGGUGGCUUCGGGUGAGGGAUGCUCCAGGGGCUCUCCAUGAUGUCCCCAAGGUCCUUUAACCUCUGGGCACUGCUUCUGCAGGAUUGGCUUUGCUUAGGGUUGGUUCCCCUUCAUUCUUGAGCUGGUUGUGGGCAACUCCUGCCCCCUGUGGGGGGACUGGACUGCCUUAGAUCACAUGUGUGUCCCUGACUCUCUGUGGUCAGGGGAUAGAAUAUUCAGAUUGGAGGGGAGCCAGCUUCUCCUAAACCACGUGGAUCUCCAAACGGAAGUCAGAGCAGAUGGGAAGGGGGAGCAGACGUUGAGCUCAAUCAAUAAACACCCACCUUGGGAGCUGCAGCCUGGAGGGCUUGGUGACUGCCACGCUGGCUGCUCAGAGCUCCUCGCUUACUUUUGGGCAUAUGCCUGUGAACCAGAUGGUGGCACCUCCUGAAAAUCGGGUCUGUGGAUAAUGGGAGGAUUUUUUAAAUUAUGAAAAUGUUCAUUAUGGAAGAAUAAAUGAAGAAUAGCAUAUG